UACGGGGGGAGCAAGCGUUGUUCGGAUUUACUGGGCGUAAAGGGCGCGUAGGCGGCCACCGCAAGUCAGUUGUGAAAUCUCUGGGCUUAACCCAGAAAGGUCAACUGAUACUGCGGGGCUAGAGUGCAGAAGGGGCAACUGGAAUUCUCGGUGUAGCGGUGAAAUGCGUAGAUAUCGAGAGGAACACCUGCGGCGAAGGCGGGUUGCUGGGCUGACACUGACGCUGAUGUGCGAAAGCUAGGGGAGCGAACGGG
rnacentral:rRNA from 1 species